AGUGAACGCUGGCGGUAGGCCUAACACAUGCAAGUCGAACGGCAGCACAGUAAUUUCUUGCUCUUACGUUUUGCGAGUGGCGUACGGUUUCGUUAUACAUCGUAAUCUACUUUUUCUUGGGUGAUAUCGUAGGUAAACUUACGCUAAUACCUCAUACGACCUACGUUUGUAAUCAUUGGAUCUUCUGACCUUGCUCGAUUGUAUGAGCCGAUGUCGGAUUAGCUAGUUGGCGGGGUAAAGGCCCACCAAGGCGACGAUCCGUAGCUGGUCUGAGAGGAUGAUCAGCAACACUGGAAAUGAGAAACGGAACAGAAAACUAAGGGAGGAAGAAGUGGGGAAUAUUGGACAAUGGGCGAAAGCAGGAUACAGCAAUACCGAGUGGGUGAAGAAGGACUUAGGGGUGGAAAGCAAUUUUGGUGGGAAAGAAAAGAAGAAGGUUAAAAAAAAGAGGUAAUGACGGUAACAAAAGAAUAAGAACGGGCUAACUUCGUG
rnacentral:rRNA from 1 species